UACAGAGGGUGCGAGCGUUGUCCGGAAUCACUGGGCGUAAAGGGCGCGUAGGUGGCGACCCAAGUCGAUGGUGAAAGCUCGCCGCUCAACGGCGAGUCGGCCACCGAUACUGGGUUGCUCGAGCACUGUAGAGGCUAAUGGAAUUCCGGGUGUAGCGGUGGAAUGCGUAGAUAUCGGGAGGAACACCAGUGGCGAAGGCGACUUCCUGGCCUGUUCUUGACGCUGAGGCGCGAAAGCUAGGGUAGCAAACGGG
rnacentral:rRNA from 1 species